rnacentral:rRNA from 1 species
UGCUUAACACAUGCAAGUCAAGGGGAAAGCUCUUUUCGGAGGGUAAGUAUACUGGCGAACGGGUGAGUAACGCGUAGGUAACCUGCCUACAGGACUGGGAUAACACGGCUAACGCGGUGCUAAUACCGGGUAUUGCAUCAGGUCUGCAUGGAUUUGAUGUGAAAGCGGGCUUUGGCUCGUGCUUGUAGAUGGACCUGCGUCUCAUUAGCUAGUUGGCGGGGUAACGGCCCACCAAGGCGACGAUGGGUAGCCGACCUGAGAGGGUGAUCGGCCACACUGGGACUGAGAUACGGCCCAGACUCCUACGGGAGGCAGCAGUGAGGAAUAUUGCGCAAUGGGCGAAAGCCUGACGCAGCAACGCCGCGUGCGGGAUGAAGCUUUUCGGAGUGUAAACCGCUGUUAGCAGGGAAGAAUAAGGCUAUUUCGAACAGGGAUAGUUGAUGACGGUACCUGCAGAGGAAGCCCCGGCUAACUCCGUGCCAGCAGCCGCGGUAACACGGGGGGGGCGAGCGUUGUCCGGAAUUAUUGGGCGUAAAGGGCGCGUAGGCGGGCUAAUCAGUCAGAGGUGAAAGUUUGCGGCUUAACCGUAAAAUUGCCUUUGAUACUGUUAGUCUUGAGUACGGAAGAGGGAAGUGGAAUUCCUGGUGUAGCGGUGAAAUGCGUAGAUAUCAGGAAGAACACCGGUGGCGAAGGCGGCUUCCUGGUCCGUAACUGACGCUGAGGCGCGAAAGUGUGGGGAGCGAACAGGAUUAGAUACCCUGGUAGUCCACACAGUAAACGAUGGAUACUAGGUGUUGGAUCUUUAAGGUUCAGCGCCGGAGCAAACGCAUUAAGUAUCCCGCCUGGGGAGUACGAUCGCAAGAUUGAAACUCAAAGGAAUUGACGGGGGCCCGCACAAGCGGUGGAGCAUGUGGUUUAAUUCGAUGCAACGCGAAGAACCUUACCUGGGCUUGAACUGCAGCUGCUGAACUCUGAAAGGGGUUCUUCCUUCGGGACGGCUGUAGAGGUGCUGCAUGGCUGUCGUCAGCUCGUGUCGUGAGAAUGUUGGGUUAAGUCCCGCAACGAGCGCAACCCUUGCCCUUAGUUGCCAGCAUUUAGGAUGGGACUUUAAGGGGACUGCCCCGGCUAACGGGGAAGGAAAGGUGGGGAAUGACGUUCAAGUCAUCAUGGCCCUUUACGUCCAGGGCUACACACGUGCUACAAUGGCCGGUACAACGGGCAGCGAGACAGCGAUGUUGUGCGAAUCCCUGAAAACCGGUCUCAGUUCGGAUUGCAGUCUGCAACUCGACUGCAUGAAGUCGGAAUCGCUAGUAAUCGCGGAUCAGCAUGCCGCGGUGAUACGUUCCCGAGCCUUGUACACACCGCCCGUCACGCCAUGGAAGUCGGUAGCGCCCGAAGCCGGUGCCCAACUCUUCGGAGGGGGAGCCGUCGAAGGUG